rnacentral:Y_RNA from 1 species
UGUACGAAUGCCGAUGGAACUACAGCCAAGCACGCUCCAGGUCGCGGGUUCGAUUCCCGCCCGGUGCCGCAAUGCACCGGUAGCUCAGUGGUUAGAGCAGGAUCGCCGCCUUGCCCUCGUGGCACGGUGGUGAAACGUUCCUUCAUUCUUGUCGUACAAGC